AUACGUAUGGGGGCAAGCGUUAUCCGGAUUCAUUGGGCGUAAAGGGUGCGUAGGUGGUCUCUUAAGUCAGGAGUGAAAGGCUACGGCUUAACCGUAGUAAGCUCUUGAAACUGGGAGACUUGAGUGCAGGAGAGGAAAGUGGAAUUCCUAGUGUAGCGGUGAAAUGCGUAGAUAUUAGGAGGAACACCAGUAGCGAAGGCGGCUUUCUGGACUGUAACUGACACUGAGGCACGAAAGCGGUGGGGAGC
rnacentral:rRNA from 1 species